GACGAACGCUGGCGGCGUGCCUAAUACAUGCAAGUCGAACGCAGUGGGGACGGGUGAGUAACCCGUGGGUAAACUCCCAUCAGCGGGUGUAACACUUGGAAACAGGUGCUAAACCGAUACUGAUGGAUGGAUCCGCGGUGCAUUAGGUAGUUGGUGAGGUAACGGCUCACCAAGGUCCGGAUGCAUAGCCGACCUGAAGGGGUGAUCGGCAACAUGGGGACUGAGACACGGCCCAGAUCCCUACGGAGGGCAGCAGUAGGGAAUCUUCGGCAAUGGCCGAAAGUCUGACCGAGCAACGCGGCGUGAGUGAAGAAGGUUUUCGGAUCGUAAACCUCUUUUGUUAGAGAAGCGGUAUCUAACCAGAAAGCCACGGCUAACUACGUGCCAGCAGCCGCGGUAAUAC
rnacentral:rRNA from 1 species